rnacentral:rRNA from 1 species
AUUGAACGCUGGCGGCAGGCCUAACACAUGCAAGUCGAGCGGCAGCGGAAAGUAGCUUGCUACUUUGCCGGCGAGCGGCGGACGGGUGAGUAAUGUCUGGGAAACUGCCUGAUGGAGGGGGAUAACUACUGGAAACGGUAGCUAAUACCGCAUAAUGUCGCAAGACCAAAGAGGGGGACCUUCGGGCCUCUUGCCAUCAGAUGUGCCCAGAUGGGAUUAGCUAGUAGGUGGGGUAACGGCUCACCUAGGCGACGAUCCCUAGCUGGUCUGGGAGGAUGAACAGCCACACUGGAACUGGGACACGGUCCAGACUCCUACGGGAGGCAGCAGUGGGGAAUAUUGCACAAUGGGCGCAAGCCUGAUGCAGCCAUGCCGCGUGUAUGAAGAAGGCCUUCGGGUUGUAAAGUACUUUCAGCGGGGAGGAAGGUGUUGAGGUUAAUAACCUCAGCAAUUGACGUUACCCGCAGAAGAAGCACCGGCUAACUCCGUGCCAGCCGCCGCAGUAA